AUUGAACGCUGGCGGCAGGCCUAACACAUGCAAGUCGAACGAGUGGCGGACGGGUGAGUAAUGUCUGGGACACUGCGCGAUGGAGGGGGAAAACUACUGGACAGAGUAGCUAAUACCGCAUACUAUCGGAUGCGCCCAGAGGGGAUUAGCUAGUAGGUGGGGUAAGGGCUCACCUAGGCGACGAUCCCUAGCUGGUCGGAGAGGAUGACCAGCCACACUGGAACUGAGACACGGUCCAGACUCCUACGGGAGGCAGCAGUGGGGAAUAUUGCACAAUGGGCGCAAGCCUGCUGCAGCCAUGCCGCGGGUAUGAAGAAGGCCUUCGGGUUGUAAAGUACUUUCAGCGAGGAGGCGUUACUCGCAGAAGAAGCACCGGCUAACUCCGUGCCAGCCGCCGCGGUAAUAC
rnacentral:rRNA from 1 species